rnacentral:rRNA from 1 species
GAUGAACGCUGGCGGCGUGCCUAAUACAUGCAAGUCGAGCGAACAGACGAGGAGCUUGCUCCUCUGACGUUAGCGGCGGACGGGUGAGUAACACGUGGAUAACCUACCUAUAAGACUGGGAUAACUUCGGGAAACCGGAGCUAAUACCGGAUAAUAUAUUGAACCGCAUGGUUCAAUAGUGAAAGACGGUUUUGCUGUCACUUAUAGAUGGAUCCGCGCCGCAUUAGCUAGUUGGUAAGGUAACGGCUUACCAAGGCAACGAUGCGUAGCCGACCUGAGAGGGUGUUCGGCCACCCUGGAACUGAGACACGGUCCAGACUCCUACGGGAGGCAGCAGUAGGGAAUCUUCCGCAAUGGGCGAAAGCCUGACGGAGCAACGCCGCGUGAGUGAUGAAGGUCUUCGGAUCGUAAAACUCUGUUAUUAGGGAAGAACAAAUGUGUAAGUAACUAUGCACGUCUUGACGGUACCUAAUCAGAAAGCCACGGCUAACUACGUG